AUGCCCGGGUCGGGGGCACGACGCGGAGCAGCGAGGUGUGGGUGCACAGAGCCGAGCGGCGCGGGAGCUUCCGAGUGCCCUCCCUCCCCCUCCUCCCUCCUCCCUCCUCCCUCCUCCCUCCUCUUCCACCGCUUUCCCUCCUUCCGCCGCGACUCCCGAGACCGUUCGCGCCCCGCCCCGCCCCGCCUGACCCUGGCCCCGCCCCGCCCCAUCCCCCGCCCCAUCCCCCGCCUGACCCUGGCCCCGCCCAAGCCCCGCCCAAGCCCCGCCCCGCAUUGGCCCCGCCCAACCUCCGCCCCCAAUCCCCGCCCCGCCUGGCCCUGGCCCCGCCCCCAAGCCCCGCCCCGCCCCGCCUGGCCCCGCCCCCAAGCCCCGGCCCAAUCCCCGCCUGACCCUGGCCCCGCCUUGGCCCCGCCCAACCUCCGCCCCCAAGCCCCGCCCCGCCUGGCCCUGGCCCCGCCCCCAGCCCCGCCCCGCCCGCCCCUGGCCCCGCCCCAAGCCCCGUCCCGCCCGGGUCUCGGUCCCAGCCCCGCCCUCUGUUCCGUCUCCGCCCGGCUCCCCGACCCCCGACCGGACCUGACCGCGGCCCCCGGCCCCGACCCGCCGCGACCCCGGACCUGCCCCGAUUCCAGACCCCGGCCCUGCUCCGCCCACCUCGGUCCAGGUUCCGCCCCCAACCCCGAGUCAGCUCGGCCCCGGCCCCGGCCCCGGCCCCGGCCCCGGCCCCACCCGCCGCAACUUGGGUCCCGACUCGGCCCAGCCCCUACUCCCCACCCCCCAGCCCCCAGCCCCCACCCCACCCCCUCCCCGGCCUACGCGGUGGGGGGGAGCGGCACCUGGGCUCGGCCAAACCCCAACCCCGCCCCGCACCCCGUGCACCUGCCGGCCUUCCCGGGAGAGCAGGGUGCAGGGCCUCGGGUGGGUCAGGUGACUGGCCUCGCGCUUAGACCCAGUCGUUUGCUCUGGGCCGCUAGGCCUGGCCGCAGCCCGGCUGGAGUGGGGCUCGAGUGGGGCUGGGCGGGACCCGGAGCUCCCAGAAACCAGGCUGCCACCCGCGGGGCAGACCCAGAGGGAGCGGGCCAGGGGAGGGCGCCGCCUGGGCGCCAGCCCCUCCUGGUUGGGGAUCCCGUCAGGUUGGCUGACUCCCUGCGACCUGCUCUCUGGUCGAUGACAUCCACCCCGAGGGUUUUUGUGACGUUCAUUGAGAUCAUGUACGCGAGGUUCUUGGCGCAGGAUAACACAGAAUGGGAGAUAAGUCUAUCCACAGGUCAGACUGAGCUACAUGAAAGCAGAAAGGCACGGGGAGGCUUUGGGGGAAAACCCACUCUCCUGCUUUUGGGGACAGAAUGGACUCACUGCUCCUGA
rnacentral:lncRNA from 1 species